AGGCAGGCCAUGGUUUCAUCGAACAGCCGGGAGUGGAGCGGGAUGCUGAAGGAUAGCGGCGCUCACUUCAGUGAGGAGCCACAAGGUAGGCCAUGGUUUCAUCGAACAGCCGGGAGUGGAGCGGGAUGCUGAAGGAUAGCGGCGCUCACUUCAGUGAGCCCAGCUUGAACCCCACCAUUGGCGUCCUGGGCACCACUCUGAAUAAGCUGCUUCAGUUGUGACUUGUAGCACAAAGUUUCUGUCACCCAGUUCAUCGUCAUCUCUGAACCAAAGCAUUGGUCCUGCCUGCUAGUCACCACUUGAAUGAAGGUUGGAAUGGUGCAGUGUGUUUGUGUAAAUAAACUGUUGAAGUUGUGACAGUA